GGGGUUGUGGCUCAGUGGUAGACACCUGUCUUGCACACAUGAGGCACUGGGUUCAAUCCUCAGCACCACA
rnacentral:tRNA from 1 species